rnacentral:lncRNA from 1 species
AUGGGAGCAAAAUGGGAAUCUCAAAGGACCCACGGCCAAAGCACCAAAUUUGUGACGGAACCGCGGCCCCUCCUUCCCACUGACCAUCAUAUUCAACGUGAAGUCGUGAAGACCAAACACUGCUGUAAUGUUUCAGAGUAUCAUUUGAUGAAAUUGUCUGAAUUUUCAACUGUCUACAGAGAGCCUUCUGGGUACCAGGUACUAAACUAAAUGUUCCAGAGACAGAGACCACCACCAGCACCUACGAAACUUUAGGACACAGCAACCAGAACUAAUACUCAACUCUCAGAGCAACCUCUGAUUAAAGAAACAAGGGUGAAGAAUAAUGGAGUGACAAGAAAAGGGACAGGAAGAAAGGAUUUUAAAAUGUGACAUCAGGGACACCUGGGUGGCUCAGCGGUUGAGCAUCUGCCUUCAGCUCAGGUCAUGAUCCCCGGGUCCUGGGAUCAAGUCCCACAUCAGGUUCCCUGAAGGGAGCCUGCUUCUCCCUCUGCCUAUGUCUCUGCCUCUCUCUCUGUGUCUCCUAUGAAUAAAUCAAUAAAAUCUUAAAAAAUAAAUAAAUAA